rnacentral:rRNA from 1 species
UGGGGAAUAUUGCACAAUGGGCGCAAGCCUGAUGCAGCGACGCCGCGUGAGGGAUGGAGGCCUUCGGGUUGUAAACCUCUUUCGCCAGUGAAGCAGGCCAUCUUCUUUGUGGGGUGGUUGACGGUAGCUGGAUAAGAAGCGCCGGCUAACUACGUGCCAGCAGCCGCGGUAAUACGUAGGGCGCGAGCGUUGUCCGGAAUUAUUGGGCGUAAAGAGCUCGUAGGCGGCUGGUCGCGUCUGUCGUGAAAUCCCCUGGCUUAACUGGGGGCUUGCGGUGGGUACGGGCCGGCUUGAGUGCGGUAGGGGGGACUGGAAUUACUGGUGUAGCGGUGGAAUGCGCAGAUAUCAGGAGGAACACCGGUGGCGAAGGCGGGUCUCUGGGCCGUUACUGACGCUGAGGAGCGAAAGCGUGGGGAGCGAACAGG